rnacentral:lncRNA from 1 species
UGUCAGGGUCUGGUGAUAUUUCUGUUGCAUUUACUGUUUGACAGCUACAGGAUUAUCUAAUCUGUGCUUCUGUGUUCUGGCAGCUGCAUCACACACAUAAAUGUCAGCUGAAAUUCUGAAUGUAAGUAUUCUGUGAAGAUGUGUUUUCCAAAUGAGAAACAGCUCCUCUGUCCUGGUAAUACAGUUUAGUCUGCUUAUACCUCUCACCUCUGUUGGACCUGUGGAGCAAUGGUUGUUUACCUGGUGCUGUUUGAGUGCCAUCUUCUGCCUCACCCGGGUAUGGCUGUCCUGAGACUCUGAAAAGAGAGCUCUUAGGCCACGGGUGUCCAACAUUUAGCUUGUCUGGGCCCCAUGGAGUGAAGAGUUGUCGUCUUGGGCUGCAUGUAAAAUAUGAGGACUGCUCUGAAAGUAAUUCCUCCUGUCUUACAUUGUUGGCCCACAACAUCAGAGGCAGAUGAUGUUAUGGCAGCAGAGGUUGAACCUUCCCACCAGUAUCCCGUUAAAUGUUGUUGCUGUGUGACACGUUGGCAGCAGAGGGGCAGUCUGAGACAAUGGCGUCUGCCAUGGAAGUGCAUAUGGAGCAAAGGUGUGGAACCGAAUUCCUCCAUGUGGAGAAAAUGGUACCCAC